CAGUUCACAAGUCUCACUCAAGCUUUGAAAUCUCGUGAAGAAGUUGACUGUGAAAACGAGAACCAGGGCUGGACAUAGGUGUUUAUAGUUUACUGAGAGGAACCACCAGCACAAAUUUAUUCCCAAAGUCAUGACUGACUAUCUGAUUUCAACAAUUUAGGUGAGGUGACCACCACGGUACAUCCCGGAAGAAGCUGACGAUUCAACAACCCUGAGAUGAGAUCUGCAACAGGCCGAGGGUGCUCUGGGUCCAACAGCCCCUUGCAAACCUCUUGUCUGGCUAACCCACACAUUGUCCAGAGAGACCUCUCUCACCAGGCGCUCACUGAGACGCUCCCACCUGCUCAGCUGUAAACUCACCACUGCAACCAGAUACUGCUCCCAAUGGUCUGAGGGUAUAAUACAUAAUGAAACACAAAAAAAUAUUAUUUGUAGCGUCUCUGUAGAGAAAACUGGUCUUGUUUAAGUGCAAAGUUGCAAUGCACAAGUAAAAAAAAGUAACAAUUUCCUGUAAUGUUCUACCAAAUAAAAUGCCUUCAGUGAUCAAAAAUGAGCCAAUGAACAACUGAAAAAGAUACUGGAAUUGACAGUAAA